UGGGGAAUUUUGGACAAUGGGCGAAAGCCUGAUCCAGCAAUGCCGCGUGUGUGAAGAAGGCCUUCGGGUUGUAAAGCACUUUUGUCCGGAAAGAAAUCCUUGGCUCUAAUACAGUCGGGGGAUGACGGUACCGGAAGAAUAAGCACCGGCUAACUACGUGCCAGCAGCCGCGGUAAUACGUAGGGUGCAAGCGUUAAUCGGAAUUACUGGGCGUAAAGCGUGCGCAGGCGGUUUGCUAAGACCGAUGUGAAAUCCCCGGGCUCAACCUGGGAACUGCAUUGGUGACUGGCAGGCUAGAGUAUGGCAGAGGGGGGUAGAAUUCCACGUGUAGCAGUGAAAUGCGUAGAGAUGUGGAGGAAUACCGAUGGCGAAGGCAGCCCCCUGGGCAAGUACUGACGCUCAUGCACGAAAGCGUGGGGAGCAAACNGGAUUAAUNCCCUGGUAGUCCACGCCCUAAANGAUGUCAACUAGUUGUUGGGGAUUCAUUUUCCUUAGUAACGUAGCUAACGCGUGAAGUUGACCGCC
rnacentral:rRNA from 1 species